rnacentral:lncRNA from 1 species
GUUGGCAUAUUGAUAUACGGAUGCAUGUCGAAGGUCAGGAAGUGGUGAACUUGUGAACACAAGUGAAGUGAACACAAGUGAAAUGGCAGUAGCUGCAGUUCCAAAUGAUCUGUAAGGUCUCAGUUGAUUAAGAUGUCAAGCCUGAAGGACAGACAGCCACACACCUAUCUGCUGGUAUUUUACUGUGUCACAUUGUUCUGCAUCUAUGGAGCAGGUCAAGACAUUUCUCCUCCAUGUGAAGUUGGGCUGAUGGUCCGGAGAGGCACGACAUGGACAUCAGCCCCACGACAACGCGUGACAGUCAAGUGUCCCGUCAAAGACUGUGGGAAAUCAGUCAGUGUCACGUGGUGCAAACUGAGCGACACAAACAGAUGUGAAUUGAUUAAUCAUACAGAAAGCGUACAACAGAAUGACAAACGUGUCGGAAAUGAAUUGAUCUCAUUUUUGACUUUCAAACGGAUUUCCAUUCAUGACGCCGGCCUGUAUGGAUGUUCUUUAAAAGGAUACAAAUUUGAGGUGAUCAGUCACACUAUCAACAUCUCAGUGUCAGACGUUUCUCCUCCAUGUGAAGUUGGGCUGAUGGUCCGGAGAGGCAUGACAUGGACAGCAGCCCCACGACAACGUGUGACAGUCACGUGUCCAGUCAAAGACUGUGGGGAAUCCUUCAAUGUCACCUGGUGCAAACUGAGCGACACAAACAGAUGUGAACGGAUUCAUUAUACAGAAAAUGUACAACAGAAUGACAAACGCGUUAAAGAUGAACUGAUCUCAUUUUUGACCUUCAAACGGAUUUCCAUUCAUGACGCCGGCCUGUACGGAUGUUCUUUAAAAGGAUACAAAUUUGAGGUGAUCAGUCACACUAUCAACAUCUCAGUGUCAGACUCCUACCUGGGGGUCAAAAAGUCAAUCGAUACUACAGACGUUUCUCCUCCAUGUGAAGUUGGGCUGAUGGUCCGGAGAGGCACGACAUGGACAGCAGCUCCACGACAACGUGUGACAGUCACGUGUCCCAUCAAAGACUGUAGGGAAUCCUUCAAUGUCACCUGGUGCAAACUGAGCGACACAGACAGAUGUGAACGGAUUCAUUAUACAGAAAAUGUACAACAGAAUGACAAACGUGUUAAAGAUGAACUGAUCUCAUUUUUGACCUUCAAACGGAUUUCCAUUCAUGACGCCGGCCUGUACGGAUGUUCUUUAAAAGGAUACAAAUUUGAGGUGAUCAGUCACACUAUCAACAUCUCAGUGUCAGACUCCUACCAGGGGGUCAAAAAAUCAAUCGAUACUACAGAUUUGGCACCAAGUGUUGCUGGUGAUGAGGAUCUGUCCCAGCUGGCCUACGUCCUCUGUCUUAGCGUAGCGCUGCUGUAUGCCCACUAACAGUGUUAACUCUCCUGAUUCUUUAAGGAUGGAAACUUUAAAAAAAUAAAAAAAUAAUCCCUGUCUGAAUUACUGUGGUAACAUUUCUAGAUCUUGCCAAGUGAAAAUGGAGCAUUUGCAAAUUAUAGCCAGUAAUGUUGCAUCUUGCUAUGACUAUUGAAACUUUGCUUGGACUCCUUGUACAAUGGGGUCAGUCAUUCCUCCCUGUUUCGUCUUCAACUUGUCCACAAUGCCAAAACCAGGCUCCUGAAAGGUACCUGGAAGAGAGACCGCUAUUCUGGCCUUCCUCCACUGGCUCCCAGUAAGGUUCAGAAUGGAUUUAAAGUUCUCCUGUUUGUUUCUAUAUCUAUAUGUUUAGAUAUAAAUUCAGCAUUGCAAUAAAAUUCUUGGUCGAU